rnacentral:rRNA from 1 species
UAGUCCACGCCGUAAACGAUGAAUGCCAGACGUCGGGAGACUUGUCUUUCGGUGUCACACUUAACGGAUUAAGCAUUCCGCCUGGGGAGUACGGUCGCAAGAUUAAAACUCAAAGGAAUUGACGGGGGCCCGUACAAGCGGUGGAGCAUGUGGUUUAAUUCGAAGCAACGCGCAGAACCUUACCAACCCUUGACAUGGGUAUCGCGGUUCCAGAGAUGGAAUUUUCAGUUCGGCUGGAUAUCACACAGGUGCUGCAUGGCUGUCGUCAGCUCGUGUCAUGAGAUGUUCGGUUAAGUCCGGCAACGAGCGCAACCCACAUCUUUAGUUGCCAGCAGUUCGGCUGGGCACUCUAGAGAAACUGCCCGUGAUAAGCGGGAGGAAGGUGUGGAUGACGUCAAGUCCUCAUGGCCCUUACGGGUUGGGCUACACACGUGCUACAAUGGCAGUGACAAUGGGUUAAUCCCAAAAAACUGUCUCAGUUCGGAUUGGGGUCUGCAACUCGACCCCA